rnacentral:rRNA from 1 species
UACGGAGGGGGCUAGCGUUGUUCGGAAUUACUGGGCGUAAAGGGCGCGUAGGCGGCCAUUCAAGUUAGGUGUGAAAGCCCUGGGCUCAACCUAGGAAUUGCACUUGAUACUGUUUGGCUUGAGUUCGGGAGAGGUGAGUGGAAUUCCCAGUGUAGAGGUGAAAUUCGUAGAUAUUGGGAAGAACACCAGUGGCGAAGGCGGCUCACUGGACCGACACUGACGCUGAGGCGCGAAAGCGUGGGGAGCAAACAGG